rnacentral:rRNA from 1 species
AGUUAAAGCUAAGAAGAGCAUAAGGUGAAUGCCUUGGCAUCAGGAGCCGAAGAAGGACGUGACAAGCUGCGAUAAGCUACGGUAAGCUGCAAAUAAGCGUUAUAGCCGUAGAUUUCCGAAUGGGGAAACCCACAUACCGAAGAGGUAAGUAUCAUACAGUGAAUACAUAGCUGUAUGAAGGGAACCCUCCGAACUGAAACAUCUAAGUAGGAGGAGGAAGAGAAAUCAAACGAGAUUCCGCGAGUAGUGGCGAGCGAAAGCGGAAGAGGCCAAACCGGAAGUAGUAAUACUUACGGGGUGUGGACUGUGCAUGGUACUGCGGACGAUAGCCGAAUCGUUUUGGGAAAGCGAUCCGGAGAGAGUGAAAGACUCGUAGGCGAAAUUGAAAGCAGACUGACAGAAUCCAGAGUAUCAGCGGGCACGUGGAACCCGGUGAGAAGACGGGGGGACCACCCUCCAAGCCUAAAUACUACCUGAUGACCGAUAGUGGAGAAGUACUGUGAAGGAAAGGUGAAAAGAACCCCGGGAGGGGAGUGAAAGAGAACCUGAAACCUUAUGUUUACAAGCACACAAAGUCGAGAGACGAUGUGGUACUUUUUGUAGAACGGUCCGGCGAGUUAAUGUAUGUAGCGAGGUUAAGAUAUUAAGUAUCGGAGCCGCAGGGAAACCGAGUGUGAAGAGCACGAGAGUUGCAUACAUUAGACCCGAAACCGGGUGACCUAUCCAUGAGCAGGUUGAAGUUGAGGUAAAACUCAAUGGAGGACCGAACCGACCCCCGUUGAAAAGUUGGCGGAUGACUUGUGGAUAGCGGAGAAAUUCCAAUCGAACCCGGAUAUAGCUGGUUCUCCCCGAAA